rnacentral:tRNA from 1 species
GCCCCGAUGGUGUAGCCCGGAAGCAUUCAGAGAAAUCUGUUCGUUGGGUAACCAAUCAUCUCGGCUUUUCGAGCCGAGGACGUGGGUUCGAAUCCCGCUCGGGGCA